UACGUAGGGCGCAAGCGUUGUCCGGAAUUAUUGGGCGUAAAGAGCUCGUAGGCGGUUUGUCGCGUCUGCUGUGAAAACCUAAGGCUCAACCUUGGGCUUGCAGUGGGUACGGGCAGACUAGAGUGCGGUAGGGGUGACUGGAAUUCCUGGUGUAGCGGUGGAAUGCGCAGAUAUCAGGAGGAACACCGAUGGCGAAGGCGGGUCUCUGGGCCGAUACUGACGCUGAGGAGCGAAAGCGUGGGGAGCAAACAGG
rnacentral:rRNA from 1 species